AGCUGGCGGGUGCUUCACACAUGCAAGUCGAACGGGGUCCAACUAGUUGGCAACACUAGGGAAGAUCUAGUUGGCGAACGGGUGCGUAACACGUGAGGAACCUACCCCGGACUCUGGAAUAACUGCGGGAAACCGCUGCUAAUACCGGAUAUCGUCGCACGGUCGCAUGGCGAGUGACGAAAGGUUUACCGGUUCGGGACGGUCUCGCGGCCUAUCAGCUUGUUGGCGGGGUAAUGGCCCACCAAGGCAUCGACGGGUAGCUGGUCUGAGAGGAUGAUCAGCCACACUGGGACUGAGACACGGCCCAGACUCCUACGGGAGGCAGCAGUGGGGAAUCUUGCGCAAUGGGCGAAAGCCUGACGCAGCAACGCCGCGUGGGGGAUGAAGGCUCUCGGGUUGUAAACCCCUUUCAGCAGGAACGAAAAUGACGGUACCUGCAGAAGAAGGCCCGGCCAACUACGUGCCAGCAGCCGCGGUAAUACGUAGGGGCCAAGCGUUGUCCGGAUUUAUUGGGCGUAAAGAGCUCGUAGGCGGUUUGGAUAGUCGGGUGUGAAAACUCCGAGCUCAACUCGGAGACGCCACCCGAUACUGCCAUGACUAGAGUCCGGUAGGGGAGCAGGGAAUUCCUGGUGUACGGUGAAAUGCGCAAUAUCAGGAGGAACACCGGUGGCGAAGGCGCUGCUCUGGGCCGGUACUGACGGCUUGAGGGAGCGAAAAGGCGGUUGGGUUAGCAAACCAGGGAUUAGAUUACCCUGGGUUAGUCCACGCCCGUAAAACCGUUGGGGCACUAGGUGUUGGGCCCUAAACCAACGGGGGUCGU
rnacentral:rRNA from 1 species